rnacentral:rRNA from 1 species
UACGGAGGGGCUAGCGUUGUUCGGAAUUACUGGGCGUAAAGCGCACGUAGGCGGCUUUGUAAGUUAGAGGUGAAAGCCCUCAGCUCAACUGAGGAAGCGCGCCCGAAACUGCAGAGCUUGAGUACCGGAGAGGAUGGCGGAAUUCCCCAAGUAGAGGUGAAAAUUCGUAGAUAUAGGGGAGGAACACCGGUGGCGAAGGCGGCCAUCUGGACGGAUACUGACGCGUGAGACGGCGAAAGCGUGGGGAG